rnacentral:rRNA from 1 species
GCAUUAUACGGCGAAACUGCGAAUGGCUCAUUAAAUCAGUUAUCGUUUAUUUGAUAGUACCUUACUACUUGGAUAACCGUGGUAAUUCUAGAGCUAAUACAUGCUAAAAAUCCCGACUCACGGAGGGAUGUAUUUAUUAGAUUAAAAACCAAUGCCCCUCGGGGCUUUCUGGUGAUUCAUAAUAACUUCUCGAAUCGCAUGGCCUUGCGCCGGCGAUGGUUCAUUCAAAUUUCUGCCCUAUCAACUUUCGAUGGCAGGGUCUUGGCCUGCCAUGGUUACAACGGGUAACGGAGGGUUAGGGCUCGACCCCGGAGAAGGAGCCUGAGAAACGGCUACUACAUCCAAGGAAGGCAGCAGGCGCGCAAAUUACCCAAUCCCGACACGGGGAGGUAGUGACAAUAAAUACUGAUACAGGGCUCUUUUGGGUCUUGUAAUUGGAAUGAGUACAAUUUAAAUCCCUUAACGAGGAACAAUUGGAGGGCAAGUCUGGUGCCAGCAGCCGCGGUAAUUCCAGCUCCAAUAGCGUAUAUUAAAGUUGUUGCAGUUAAAAAGCUCGUAGUUGAACCUUGGGCCUGGCUGGCCGGUCCGCCUCACCGCGUGCACUGGUUCGGCCGGGCCUUUCCCUCUGGGGAGCCCUAUGCCCUUCACUGGGUGUAGUGGGGAACCAGGACUUUUACUGUGAAAAAAUUAGAGUGUUCAAAGCAGGCCUAUGCUCGAAUACAUCAGCAUGGAAUAAUAGAAUAGGACGUGUGGUUCUAUUUUGUUGGUUUCUAGGACCGCCGUAAUGAUUAAUAGGGACAGUCGGGGGCAUCAGUAUUCAAUUGUCAGAGGUGAAAUUCUUGGGAUUUAUUGAAGACUAACUACUGCGAAAGCAUUUGCCAAGGAUGUUUUCAUUAAUCAGGAACGAAAGUUAGGGGAUCGAAGACGAUCAGAUACCGUCGUAGUCUUAACCAUAAACUAUGCCGACUAGGGAUCGGACGAUGUUAUUUUUUGACUCGUUCGGCACCUUACGAGAAAUCAAAG